AUCACGGAGAGUUUGAUCCUGGCUCAGAACGAACGCUGGCGGCGCGUCUUAAGCAUGCAAGUCGAGCGGGAUUGGGGAGCUUGCUCCCCAUGAGAGCGGCGGACUGGCGAGGAACGCGUGGGCGACGCGCCCUCCGGAGGGGGACAGCCCGUGGAAACACGGGGUAAUACCCCAUGGCAUGGACGGCUUGGAGGCUGUCCAUCAAAGGAGCUUCGGCUCCGCCGGGGGAGCGGCCCGCGACCCAUCAGCUUGUUGGCGGUGCAAGGGACCACCAAGGCCGCGACGGGUAUCCGGCCUGAGAGGGCGAACGGACGCAUUGGGACUGAGAUACGGCCCAGACUC
rnacentral:rRNA from 1 species